AGAGUUUGAUCUCUGGCUCAGGACGAACGCUGGCGGCGUGCCUAAUACAUGCAAGUAGAACGCUGAAGAGAGGAGCUUGCUCUUCUUGGAUGAGUUGCGAACGGGUGAGUAACGCGUAGGUAACCUGCCUUGUAGCGGGGGAUAACUAUUGGAAACGAUAGCUAAUACCGCAUAACAAUGGAUGACACAUGUCAUUUAUUUGAAAGGGGCAAUUGCUCCACUACAAGAUGGACCUGCGUUGUAUUAGCUAGUAGGUGAGGUAAUGGCUCACCUAGGCGACGAUACAUAGCCGACCUGAGAGGGUGAUCGGCCACACUGGGACUGAGACACGGCCCAGACUCCUACGGGAGGCAGCAGUAGGGAAUCUUCGGCAAUGGGGGCAACCCUGACCGAGCAACGCCGCGUGAGUGAAGAAGGUUUUCGGAUCGUAAAGCUCUGUUGUAUGUCAAGAACGGGUGUGAGAGUGGAAAGUUCACACUGUGACGGUAGCUUACCAGAAAGGGACGGCUAACUACGUGCCAGCAGCCGCGGUAAUACGUAGGUCCCGAGCGUUGUCCGGAUUUAUUGGGCGUAAAGCGAGCGCAGGCGGUUUGAUAAGUCUGAAGUUAAAGGCUGUGGCUCAACCAUAGUUCGCUUUGGAAACUGUCAAACUUGAGUGCAGAAGGGGAGAGUGGAAUUCCAUGUGUAGCGGUGAAAUGCGUAGAUAUAUGGAGGAACACCGGUGGCGAAAGCGGCUCUCUGGUCUGUAACUGACGCUGAGGCUCGAAAGCGUGGGGAGCGAACAGGAUUAGAUACCCUGGUAGUCCACGCCGUAAACGAUCAGUAAAAGGUGUUGGAUCCUUUCCAGGAUUCAGUGCCGAGGGUAAAGCAAUAAGCCACUCCCCCUGGUGAGUACGACCGCAAGGUUGAAACUCAAAGGAAUGUACGGGGGCCCGCACAAGCGGUGGAGCAUGUGGUUUAAUUUGAAGCAACGCGAAGAACCAUACCAGGUCUUGACAUCCCGAUGCUAUUUCUAGAGAUAGAAAGAUACUUCGGUACAUCGGUGACAGGUGGUGCAUGGUUGUCGUCAGCUCGUGUCGUGAGAUGUUGGGUUAAGUCCCGCAACGAGCGCAACCCCUAUUGUUAGUUGCCAUCAUUCAGUUGGGCACUCUAGCGAGACUGCCGGUAAUAAACCGGAGGAAGGUGGGGAGGACGUCAAAUCAUCAUGCCCCCUAUGACCUGGGCUACACACGUGCUACAAUGGUUGGUACAACGAGUUGCGAGUCGGUGACGGCGAGCUAAUCUCUUAAAGCCAAUCUCAGUUCGGAUUGUAGGCUGCAACUCCCCUACAUGAAGUCGGAAUCGCUAGUAAUCGCGGAUCAGCACGCCGCGGUGAAUA
rnacentral:rRNA from 1 species